rnacentral:rRNA from 1 species
AUGGAUGAGGUUGUUUUGGCAGGGAUGAAAAGGUGUGAAAAAAGGAUUUCUUCUCUACUAAGAGGUGCACCGACACAACCAGCGCCCACACACGCGCAGCAGCAGCUGAUGAUACUCGGGACACCAAUUGUAAAUGGCCCAUGUGCAGCCAUCUCACAACUCGCAGGAAGCAGGAUAUUGGGCCUUGGUGAUCUAGGGGUGCAAGGUAUUGACAUUGCUAUAGGGAAGCUGGAUUUAUAUGUUGCUGCUACUGGAAUAAAUCCUCAGAAGGUGGUGCAUGUGAAUAAGUUAAUAUUGGAUUCAUUUCUUUGGGGAGCUAAGCCAUGUAUUUGGAAUUUCAGUAACGGAGUUAGUUUGUGUAAAAUAGAUAAAUGUCUGCUAGCUUCUUAG